UGUUCUGAGCCCAAAGUCUCGGGGACGCAAAGGAGCCGGCCAACCGAGCCUCUUCCACCCUGGGCCGUGGGGUGGGGGCAGUAGCCCAGUACCCGGAAAUAACGCAUGCCACUUCCCCUGCCAUCUCUAGUUCCAAAGCCCAGGCGAAAGAGACGAGCGUGGAGAAACACGGAGAGGGCAGGGCGAGAGCGCAAGCGAGGCAAAUGACGUGACAGGGACAAUCUGGAGAGAAACGUGUCCCCCCACCCCCCCAAAGUGCUGGAGGCCACGGUAGCAGCGAACAGAUGAGGGCUGGAGCGAGAGAAAUCAAACUCCACGUUUCUCUAGAGCCGGCUUUCAGCGGCUCGAACCUCGCCUGGCGCAAGGUCGCAGGUGCUGUGCGGGAAUUUUGACCUUCCAGCAGGAGGAAUUCAGUUCUGCAGGGGAACAGUCAGCUUCUCCCCCUCUCCCUAUUUCGGAAGUCCAUGAUGUCGCCG